UUUACUAAUAAUUAGUGUUUUUUUUAUUUCCAUGUGGCCAUUGGAAAGGUAAUAGGAAGAUGAAAAUGGAGUUUGAUGAUGAUAUAAUCGAAGAUGAAAAUUUAAAUAGCCAUAUUGAAUUCCCACCUGAAGUUCAAAAUGCUAUUGAACAGGUUCUUCCAAGUACUGAUCCUUUGGAUCAUCCCGAUUUCAAUGCUGUUGAGUACAUUAAUAAAUUAUUCCCAACUGAACAAUCUCUGUCCAAUAUUGAUGAGGUUACUGGUAGAAUGAAAAUGAAAAUUAGACAGUUAGACGAUGAAAUACGUACUGUAGUUCGUGGUCAGACAAGUGUUGGUCAGGAUGGACGGCAAGCUUUAGAGGAAGCUCAGAAAGCUAUCAAACAGCUGUUUGCCCGUAUAAAAGAUAUAAAAGAUAAAGCAGAAAAGUCAGAACAUAUGGUUAAAGAAAUAACUAGAGACAUUAAGCAGUUGGAUCAUGCCAAACGACACCUAACUGCUUCAAUUUUGACUCUGAAUCAGUUACACAUGCUAGUUGAUGGUGUAGAGAAAUUGCAAGUGUUAGUGAAGAAGCGUCAGUAUGGUGAAAUUGCCAAUCUUCUUCAAGGAGUUACCAAUGUGCUUGAUCAUUUUCAAAAAUACAUGGGCAUUCCACAGAUAGCUCGAUUAGCAGAUAAGUCCCAAAGUAUUAAAGCAGAUUUAACUGAACAGAUUACGAAUGAUUUCCAAAAUGCUUUUGCUGGGCCAAAUUCCAAGCACUUCACUGCAAAUUCACUUCAACAGUUAGCAGAAGCUUGUUUAGUAGUUUCAAUACUUGAACCAAAAGUAAAACGUGAAUUGCUAAAAUGGUUUGUUGGUGUUCAGCUCUCUGAGUAUACUCAUUUAUUUCAAGAAACACAAGAUAUUGCAUGGUUGGACAAAAUUGACAAGCGAUAUGCCUGGUUAAAAAAACACCUUAUUGAGUUUGAAGAAAAGUUUGGGAGGAUGUUUCCUCCUGACUGGGAAGUGAGUGAACAUAUCGCUGUUGAGUUUUGCCAUAUCACUAGAAAAGAACUUGGAAAAAUAAUGAUAUCUAGGAAACCUGAAAUAAAUGUGCGACUUUUGCUGGGUGCUAUAGAAAAAACAACCAGCUUUGAAUCUCUUCUAGCCCGGCGGUUUUCAGGUGUUACAUUGGAUUCAACUGUCAUUCAUCAGUUCCCGAAAAAAGAAGCUCCAAAUCCAUUUGAAGAACCAGAAGAAACCAAUCCUUUCAAGGAAGAUAUUAAGAAAGAAUUAGAAACUCCUUCUGAAACCAGUCAGGCUGAAAAUGCAUCAAUUAUAAAAGUAAAGAAUCCCUUUCAAGGUAUAAUUUCUCGAUGCUUUGAACCACAUUUAAACAUAUAUGUUGAAUAUCAAGAUAGAAAUCUUGCUCAAUUGAUGGAUGGGUUUGUGGAAGACAUGCAGAAAGCGGAGCUUCCGAAACCUGAAGUUGAUCAAGCUAAUGUCCUGCCAUCUUGUGCUGAUCUUUUUGUAUUCUACAAAAAAUGCCUCGUUCAAUGUUCUCAAUUGAGCAUUGGACAACCUAUGUUAGCACUCACAGCUGUAUUUCAAAAAUAUUUGAGAGAAUAUGCCAACAGAGUCUUGCAAAAUAGUUUACCAAAAGUUGGAAAUGCCCCAUCUUCUGCAAAUUUGAUUCAAAGUUUAUUGAAGGAAGGAGAAGUUACUAGAUUUAGUCCUGCAGAACAGAUUCAUAUUUGUAGCAUUCUGACCACUGCAGAUUAUUGCUUAGAAACUACAUUACAAUUAGAAGGAAAACUGAAAGAAAAAGUGGAUCCAACCCUUGCAAAUCAAGUUAAUCUUGUUGCAGAACAGGAUGUUUUCCAUAAUGUGAUAUCAAACUGCAUACAGCUCCUUGUACAAAAUUUGGAAUCUGCAUGUGAACCUGCUCUUACAGCUAUGAAUAAAAUUCAGUGGUCUGCAUUUGAAACUGUUGGUGAUCAAAGCAGUUAUGUUUCUGCAAUUACUACACAUCUGAGACAGACUUUGCCUUUGCUGAGAGAUAAUUUAGCUACAUCACGCAAAUACUUCACAAAAUUCUGCAUGAACUUUGCAAAGUAGCUCAUUCAUUCCAAAGCUAAUCUGCCAUCUCUUCAAAUGCAAGCCAGUAAGCCCUAUAGGUGCUGAACAACUUCUGUUGGACACACAUAUGCUGAAAACUGUCUUACUUGAUUUGCCUUCACUUGGAUCUGUUUCAAUGAGA
rnacentral:misc_RNA from 1 species